ensembl:lncRNA LINC00272 long intergenic non-protein coding RNA 272
UUGGCCAGGCAUCAAAGCUACAUGUUGUUCAUUUAAAACAUGAACAUCCUGAUCCCAGGACUUUGAAGAUAGGAAUCACCCAUCCCAAACCAGACACACUGCCCACAGUAGCUGAGAAAGAAGCCAAAGGUGGUGAAUGAUUAGCAGAACUGCAAGACAGCUCCAGAAUCUAAACACAGAGUACUGGGAAAGCUGUUUUGUGGGGGAAACUCAGACUGACCAAAAGAGCCGAGGAGGUCCUUUGUGGCCUGUCUGCUCCAUGGGAAUAGCUCCAGGAGAGGGAAGACCAGCUGCCUUCAUCAGGAACUCACAGGUGGCAUUUCUAUGGGGAAUCAGCACAAGGGAAAAGGAGACAUUUCAUUUCCAAGUUAUGGUGGCAUCGCAAUUACACCAUUAUUGCAUGGACUGAAGUGCAAGUGGAGGACAAGGGGU